rnacentral:rRNA from 1 species
AUUAAAGUGAGUAAACAGAAUUCCAUACUCGAUAUAGAUCCCUAUAGAAUUCCAUGGAAAAUUGUAUUUGACGAGAGUCGUAUGUAUGGCUUGGAGGAAGAUCUUCCCUAUCUUUCGAGAUCCACCCUACAAUAUGGGGUCAAAAAUCAAAAAUAA